rnacentral:rRNA from 1 species
UACGUAGGUGGCAAGCGUUGUCCGGAUUUACUGGGCGUAAAGAGCGCGCAGGCGGUCAGAUAAGUCGAAUGUGAAAACCCCCGGCUCAACUGGGGAGGGUCAUUCGAUACUGUUCGACUCGAAGGCAGGAGAGGGAAGUGGAAUUCCCGGUGUAGUGGUGAAAUGUGUAGAGAUCGGGAGGAACACCGGUGGCGAAGGCGGGUCUCUGGGCAUCUCCUGACGCUGAGGCGCGAAAGCGUGGGGAGCAAACGGG